CUAACAAAGUUACUCUUGAGUUAUGUUAAUUAUAGCCUUCUUUUCAUUAUUUUUAAGGUCACUCCCUUGUUCGUUAUAGCCUUCUUUUCCUUAUAUUUAUGUGAGGCGGUUACUCCCUUGUUCGUUAUAGCCUUCAUCUUAUUAUAUUAAAGGUUACUCCCUUGUUCGUUAUAGCCUUCAUCUUAUUAUAUUAAAGGUUACUCCCUUCUUCGUUAUAGCCUUCAUCUUAUUAUAUUAAAGGUUACUCCCUUCUUCGUUAUAGCCUUCAUCUUAUUAUAUUAAAGGUUACUCCCUUGUUCGUUAUAGCCUUCAUCUUAUUAUAUUAAAGGUUACUCCCUUGUUCGUUAUAGCCUUCAUCUUAUUAUAUUAAAGGUUACUCCCUGUUUUGUUCUUCGCUCAUUUUCCGUUUUUUCCACUGCAAGUGUGCAUAUUUAUUUAUUUAUUUAUUUAUUUUCAUUUGUUUAUUUAAUGUUAUUUGUAGUAGAUAACUGAGGGGGGCACUACCCUGGCCUCCUCUUCCUCUGAUUCUCUUACUUCACACAUUUAUCUUAAUACUUCACACUAUUGUCCAUAUGCUUCAUUUUUUUUUUUUCAUUCAUGACUUUUUAUCCAUAGCUCACACUUUUCUUAGUAUUUCACAUUUUUUCUAGAUCAUACUCUACACUUCCUGCCUAGGGGACGCGGGUUAGGCCUUUAUAAAGUCACUCUAUGGCUGCAUGCCCGCCGCGGCACACCACCACCCUGUGAGGCGUAGAGCCCCGUGCUCCCCUCCAUCCUGGGGUAACAAUCCUAAAACAAACAAACCUGAGAGGCAGGACGCUGCCGCUGCCUGUCACCUGACACCCUCUCACUGAUGAAUGGAUCGCGGCGCGGGUGGAGAGAGACUGCCCAUCCCUUUCCACUCCGCCCGGGAAGGAACUCAUGAAUUCUCGGUUGAGUCGCGUGUGCUACCCAUUGCACUACAGAA